rnacentral:rRNA from 1 species
AUACGGAGGGUGCGAGCGUUAAUCGGAAUUACUGGGCGUAAAGCGUACGUAGGCGGUUUGUUAAGUCAGAAGUGAAAGCCCUGGGCUCAACCUGGGAACGGCUUUUGAGACUGGCAGACUCGAGUUGAGUAGAGGGGAGUGGAAUUUCCGGUGUAGCGGUGAAAUGCGUAGAGAUCGGAAGGAACACCAGUGGCGAAGGCGACUCCCUGGACUCAAACUGACGCUGAGGUACGAAAGCGUGGGUAGCAAACAGGAUUAGAUACCCUAGUAGUCC